GACGAACCGUGCGAACGUUGUUCGGAAUUACUGGGCGUAAAGGGCUCGUAGGCGGCCAACUAAGUCGGAUGUGAAAUCCCCAGGCUCAACCUGGGAACUGCAUCCGAUACUGGAUGGCUUGAAUUCGGGAGAGGGAUGCAGAAUUCCAGGUGUAGCGGUGAAAUGCGUAGAUAUCUGGAGGAAUACCGGUGGCGAAGGCGGCAUCCUGGACCGACAUUGACGCUGAGGAGCGAAAGCCAGGGGAGCAAACGGG
rnacentral:rRNA from 1 species